GUAACAAGGUCUCCGUUGGUGAACCAGCGGAGGGAUCAUUACUGAGUACUACACUCUCUACCCUUUGUGAACUAUUAUACCUGUUGCUUCGGCGGCGCCCGCGAGGGUGCCCGCCGGUCUCAUCAGAAUCUCUGUUUUCGAACCCGACGAUACUUCUGAGUGUUCUUAGCGAACUGUCAAAACUUUUAACAACGGAUCUCUUGGCUCCAGCAUCGAUGAAGAACGCAGCGAAACGCGAUAUGUAAUGUGAAUUGCAGAAUUCAGUGAAUCAUCGAAUCUUUGAACGCACAUGGCGCCUUCCAGUAUCCUGGGAGGCAUGCCUGUCCGAGCGUCGUUUCAACCCUCGAGCCCCCGUGGCCCGGCGUUGGGGAUCUGCCACGGCAGGCCCCUAAAACCAGUGGCGGACCCGAAGGCCCUCUCCUUUGCGCAGUAGCAUCAGCCUCGCAUUGGGAUCCCUCGGCGUCCUGCCUCUAAACCCCCCACAAGUCCGCUCCGGCGGCACCAAGGUUGACCUCGGAUCAGGUAGGAAUACCCGCUGAACUUAAGC
rnacentral:misc_RNA from 1 species